UACGUAUGGUGCAAGCGUUAUCCGGAUUUACUGGGUGUAAAGGGAGCGUAGACGGAGUGGCAAGUCUGAUGUGAAAACCCGGGGCUCAACCCCGGGAGUGCAUUGGAAACUGUCAAUCUAGAGUACCGGAGAGGUAAGCGGAAUUCCUAGUGUAGCGGUGAAAUGCGUAGAUAUUAGGAGGAACACCAGUGGCGAAGGCGGCUUACUGGACGGUAACUGACGUUGAGGCUCGAAAGCGUGGGGAGCAAACAGG
rnacentral:rRNA from 1 species